rnacentral:rRNA from 1 species
AACGAACGCUGGCGGCAGGCCUAACACAUGCAAGUCGAGCGAGGACUUCGGUCCUAGCGGCGGACGGGUGAGUAACGCGUGGGAACGUGCCCUUUGCUUCGGAAUAGCCCUGGGAAACUGGGAGUAAUACCGGAUGAGCCCUUUGGGGGAAAGAUUUAUCGGCGAAGGAUCGGCCCGCGUUGGAUUAGGUAGUUGGUGGGGUAAUGGCCUACCAAGCCGAAGAUCCAUAGCUGGUUUGAGAGGAUGAUCAGCCACACUGGGACUGAGACACGGCCCGGUCUAAAGCGAGCCGCAGCCGUGGGGAGUGGUAGGAGAGGGAAUAAGGUCUGAACGACUCAUGCCGCUGGGAAGAUGAGGAGCUUAGGGGUGAAAAGCUCUUAGGGUAGGGAAGAUAAUGGAGGGGCCGGGAGAAUGAGGCCGAGCUAACACUGUC